rnacentral:rRNA from 1 species
UCGAGAAUCUUCGGCAAUGGGGGCAACCCUGACCGAGCGACGCCGCGUGCGAGAUGAAGGCCUUCGGGUUGUAAAUCGCUGUCAGUGGGGAGGAAAUAUUGGUGGGUUCUCCCAUCAGUUUGACCUAUCCGCAGAGGAAGGACGGGCUAAGUUCGUGCCAGCAGCCGCGGUAAGACGAACUGUCCAAACGUUAUUCGGAAUCACUGGGCUUAAAGGGUGCGUAGGCGGCUCGACAAGUUGGGUGUGAAAGCCCUCGGCUCAACCGAGGAACUGCGUCCAAAACUGUUGGGCUUGAGGAAGACAGAGGUAAGCGGAACUUAGGGUGGAGCGGUGAAAUGCGUUGAUAUCCUAGGGAACACCAGUAGCGAAAGCGGCUUACUGGGUCUUUUCUGACGCUGAUGCACGAAAGCUAGGGGAGCGAAGA